rnacentral:rRNA from 1 species
CCUACGGGAGGCAGCAGUGAGGAAUAUUGGUCAAUGGACGAGAGUCUGAACCAGCCAAGUAGCGUGAAGGAUGACUGCCCUAUGGGUUGUAAACUUCUUUUAUAAAGGAAUAAAACGAGGCACGUGUGCCUUUUUGCAUGUACUUUAUGAAUAAGGAUCGGCUAACUCCGUGCCAGCAGCCGCGGUAAUACGGCGGAUCCGAGCGUUAUCCGGAUUUGUUGGGUUUAAAGGGAGCGUAGAUGGGUUGUUAAGUCAGUUGUGAAAGUUUGCGGCUCAACCGUAAAAUUGCAAUUGAUACUGGCAGUCUUGAGUACAGUUGAGGUAUGCGGAAUUCGUGGUGUAGCGGUGAAAUGCUUAGAUAUCACGAAGAACCCCGAUUGCGAAGGCAGCUUACUAAACUGUGACUGACAUUGAUGCUCGAAAGUGUGGGUAUCAAACAGGAUUAGAUACCCCAGUAGUC